rnacentral:rRNA from 1 species
AGAGUUUGAUCCUGGCUCAGAACGAACGCUGGCGGCAGGCCUAACACAUGCAAGUCGAGCGCCCAGCAAUGGGAGCGGCGGACGGGUGAGCAACACGUGGGAAUUUUCCUCAAGGUACGGAACAACUCAGGGAAACUUGGGCUAAUACCGUAUGAUGCAGAGAUGCCAAAGAUUUAUCGCCUUGGGAUAAGCCCGCGUCAGAUUAGGUAGUUGGUGGGGUAAUGGCCUACCAAGCCUGUGAUCUGUAGCUGGUCUGAGAGGACGAUCAGCCACAUUGGGACUGAGACACGGCCCAAACUCCUACGGGAGGCAGCAGUGGGGAAUCUUGCGCAAUGGGCGAAAGCCUGACGCAGCCAUGCCGCGUGAAUGAUGAAGGUCUUAGGAUUGUAAAGUUCUUUCGCCCGUGACGAUGAUGACGGUAACGGGAGAAGAAGCCCCGGCUAACUUCGUGCCAGCAGCCGCGGUAAUACGAAGGGGGCUAGCGUUGUUCGGAAUUACUGGGCGUAAAGCGCGCGUAGGCGGUUUUGCAAGCCAGAGGUGAAAUGCCCGAGCUCAACUUGGGAAUUGCCUUUGGGACUGUGAGGCUUCGAGGACGGAAGAGGUGAGUGGAAUUCCCAGUGUAGAGGUGAAAUUCGUAGAUAUUGGGAAGAACACCGGUGGCGAAGGCGGCUCACUGGUCCGUUUCUGACGCUAAAGCGCGAAAGCGUGGGGAUCAAACAGGAUUAGAUACCCUGGUAGUCCACGCUGUAAACGAUGAGUGCUAGGCGUCGGCAGGCUUGCCUGUCGGUGCCGCAGCUAAC